rnacentral:pre_miRNA from 2 species
AGCAAAGGGCUUGACGCUAGCGCUUAUCCCCGACAGCUAGUGACAAAGCCUUUGUGGG